AAUGAGAUGCCUGAUUAAAGGAUUAUCUUGAUAGGGUAAAUAAAGUAAUGAAAAUUACUCUCAUUA
rnacentral:tRNA from 1 species